UCCUUCUACUUUCCACAAGGAGUUCUGCUCACUGCUAGGGUGCACUGUCGUUUACCUUGCCAUACCCAGAUAAGGCUUUCUAAUGCUGCUGCUGUAGAAGGCAACCAUGAAAUCUUGAGGGACUCCUUUCUCCAUUCUUUUAGAGCAUAAUAUACUUCUCCUUGCACCCAGGUUUUCAAAAUUCCAGCCACCAUGAAUGGCAUCAUUCAGGUAAUAACUUGCAGGGGUCUCCUACUUUGGCUGUUAUCGGUAGUCUCCAUUUUAAUUAAUGUUUCCUCAUCCUGAGGAUAAAGCAUCUCCCAACUCAUUUUAAACUACUUCACUGGGCACAAGGGUCUUGAAUCCAGCCUCUGUUAGUUGUUCACUAUCUGGAACAGAAUCAAGGUCUGUCCUACCUGGAGUUCCUUGUCAUCUCCCUUCCUCUAAUUUGGACUGAAAAAUGUCAUCUGUCCAGAGCAUAUGACAGAGCCACAGGGAGUUGUUGAGUGGUAUUACAUUCAGCGGUUAGUUGGCUCAGCUGGGAUUUUAUUUGUUAUUGCAAGGAUUUAACUAUUUAAUCAUUAGUUUGUUAUCAGGCAGCUCUCCUUCCAGGCCUUCACUAAUGCUGCUCCCAACGCAGCAUACGCUAUGGCUUUUUCUUUCUUUGAUUGCACUUUUCAUACUUUCACAAGUGUUGCAAUCCUAUCUGCCACAGCAUUUGGAUCAUGUCUAAUAAUACGGGCCCAUGCCAUUCCUAAGGGGGUGAGGCACACAUUGUACUGGUAUAAUUUUUCAAAAACAGGGGAGCAGUUAAGCACCGGCAUUUCCUGGGCAGCCACAGCUCAUACCUCUCCCAGCUUAUAGCUGAGAGGUCACUUCCCAGCUCUCCCCACUCACACUUAAUGGGUGGAGUGCUGGUAUCCCUUAGCACCUUUCAAUACUGAGGGGAUCCUGGCUGUGACACCAAUUAAUACAUCACAUCCCACCUGUGGGGAGGGGAGAGUGACUAAGAUUUGCAAAUCUCCUCAGGAUGGAUUAAGGUGAAAUAGCACUCAAUGGCCAUGCAUAAACAUCAAGCUGAAUGGGAGGUUUCUAUAGAACAGUUCUCCUGUAGACACCGGCCUUCUCACAACUACAUCUGCCUAAGUCAUGUGGUUGUAUGGGAAAUCAAAGUAAGCCUUAUCUCAAUUAACAACUUUAAGAGAAGAAAAGAGAGGGAGAGAGAUCACCAGUCCUAGAUCCAACAUCAAGUCAAUCAAAGGGGUUGUUUGCUGGAGAGAGAGUCCAUCUCAUGAUUCCCUAUUUACACAACCCCGUUCUUGGACUUACAGAACCUUGCUCCAGUGCCAGGAUUGGUUAAGACCCCAGUCAGAUCCAAAGAAGUGACACUAGGCCCCUCCCUAUGACUUGAAGAUUUCUGGACCCCUCUCUUGCUUCAGUUCCAGAAGUGGUUGAGAUACCACUUAAAUUAAGUGACAGUACAUUCUUCCCUAUGGCUUAACUGUCUCCUGGGACACUGUCUAAAGCUCACAGUACAGUCACUUAGGACUCGUCCUUUAAAUGCCUGAAUGACCUAACUUCCAUAUAUUCCCCUCACUACCAAAACACAGUAGAAUUUCUAUCAGAAGUUGAAUACUGGCAUACAAUUGUACAAGUCUAAGUAGAACUCAAUUUUAGCUUAGGAUAUCAAAAAGAUGUUUAUAGGAGACCUAGGUCUCAAAGUCCCUAGAUGAAACUGGCUAAACCAUUUUUGUCAAGGUCAAUAAUGAUAUCACUUGCCAGGAUUCAUGGUAAUCAGGCCAUCAGCUAACUAAUGAACGUUCACAUUUUAAACAUAUUUCCCUGUAGCAAGAUUAAUUAUUCUCAGUUAUCAUCUACAGGGUCAUUAUGCCUUUCUUAGCAAGCUUAAAGCUUCCCAUUCUCUUUUUCUCCAAAAAUAUCUUUAGUUCUUGUUGUCAGCUUGCCCCUGUUGUUGUCAGAACCCCAUUACAGCAGCUGUUUAUGAUGAACACUUCAAUGUCUUACCAAAGCUAUUGCUUUCCUAUUGGCCACGUUUAAAAGCAAAUACUGUGGGUUGUGAAAAUUGAACGAGAAAGCUUAAAUCUCUCUAACUAUAGCAUAGUUUUCUCAUAGCCAAUACAUUUACUGUCAUUUUAGGAGAGGUUUUAUGCAAUCUCUGAUGGCAACAUUCACACUCAGUGAUUCAUGGCAAACACAACUUCUUGAGGACACUGCCAAAAUCACUUUGCUUAACCAUUUACACAGCAACUGUUCUUCCACACAUGGAUAUCAGUAAGCCAGUUCCUGGUCUAAGAUACCCAUACAGCUUUUCACAUUACAGUGGACAAGACACGAAAGAGGCUUACUUACAUAACACGGCAUCAUUCUGAGUUCAUUUCUAGAGCUCAAGCAUUAAUAAGAAAGACGGUUUAAGAAUGUAUCAACCAGUGGUUUUGUAGUAAAAUUGUUACGAUGCCAAGGACUAACAGAGAUCACCUCUCACCAUGUCAGACUAAAACAACCAGGAAACAGACAACGUUAAAACCCGAUGAGGUCAGUGAGGCACACAACCUGUCAUCCCCACCAGGAAGUAGAAGCUUUGAGAAUACACCAAACGGAGCACGGCCACGCAGUCAGGUUAGCAACCGGCUGGCUGCGGAGAAGCAGAAAUAACCAAUUUCUUUAUCGGCAACAAACUGUAACGAGCUUUGGGAAAGCAACCAAACCCUUUCUGAUCCCUUCUGCUUUCCUAACUUCUCAUGAGGUGUAAUCCAUAACUUAAAGCACCUGCAUUUAUUCAUUUAUUUACUUUAACAGCGUGCUGCUUUCACUUCUCCAUACGGGCAUCACUCCAUAUGGCGGUCAGGACCGCACCGCACAACAUGCCCUCCGCCCACCCCCGGGCUGCUCUUCUUACCCGAGCUACUCGCCGCACAGCACUCGCGAGCACUCACGUUCCGCUGAGUUAGCGCACGCUCAAUCCCCACAGCAACUUCACGCUUACCGACGCCGCGUUUCACCCGUUAAUCCCUACCGAUGGCCCCCAUCUACACUGAGGCAGCGGCGUGCCCGCGGCAAUGGGCGGAUGGCACCCGCUUCCUCCGCCCGGCUCAGCGGCCGCUGCAGAGUCACAGCCGGGAGGGCCACGCGGCACAGGGACGGCCUACCCCGCACUCUGCCGGCUCCCCGAGGCCGCCCCGCCGGGCUCCUCUUGCCCCCGCGGCCCGGCCCGGCCCGGCCCGGC